GGGCCUGUAGCUCAGCUGGGAGAGCGCCACAAUGGCAUUGUGGAGGCCAAGGGUUCGAGCCCCUUCAGGUCCA
rnacentral:tRNA from 2 species